rnacentral:tRNA from 1 species
ACUGAGCUAGCCGAGUUGGUACAAGGCACGCCAUUAUAGCUGUCUUCCUAGAGGGUGCGGGUUGGAAUCCCAUUCUCAGCG